rnacentral:rRNA from 1 species
AGCUCCAAUAGCGUAUAUUAAAGUUGUUGCGGUUAAAAAGCUCGUAGUUGGAUUUUGGGACCACUUUUUCCCGGCCGGCCGGUGUAAACCGUGAACUGCUAGGAUGGUCCUUCCGUCUGGAGGCGGGCACCUUCCGCUUCACUGCGUGGGUGCACUUUUUCCGCGUCUAGGACCCUUACUUUGAACAAAUUGGAGUGUUUAAAGCAGGCUGAUUACGCAUUUGAACACAUUAGCAUGGAAUAAAACAAAUAGGGCUUUGGCUUUAUUUUGUUGGUUUUAAGGGCCGAAGUAAUGAUUAAUAGGGACAGUUGGGGGCAUUCGUAUUUAAUUGUCAGAGGUGAAAUUCUUAGAUUUAUGAAAGACGAACUUCUGCGAAAGCAUUUGCCAAGGAUGUUUUCAU